UACGUAGGGUGCAAGCGUUACUCGGAAUUACUGGGCGUAAAGGGUGAGUAGGCGGCUGGGCAAGUCAAGGAUGAAAGCCCGAGGCUCAACUUCGGAACCGUCCUUGAAACUGCUCAGCUUGAGGGUAGUUGAGGAGGGCUGAAUUCCCGGUGGAGCGGUGAAAUGCGUAGAUAUCGGGAGGAACACCUGAGGCGAAGGCGGCUCUCUAAGCUAUUCCUGACGCUGAAUCACGAAAGCUAGGGGAUCAAACGGG
rnacentral:rRNA from 1 species